UUCUCAGGCCGGUGAAUUGGAUUUGGACGCGAGGAGGGAGUUUUGAAUGGGUUUCGUUUGACAGAUCGCAGAUUCGCCAGGUAUCGGGUGUGCGGCUCGAGGUCACAUUCGAUCCUUUCGUGGAAUUCUUGGCUAAUUUGAAAUGUAUAUCCUAUCACGCGCUGAGGAUAUCCUUUCGCUCCGUGCCACGUCUAAUAUUUAACGCAUAUAAUGCUAGACUUGACAUCCUGUCGAUCGAUCGAGGGGAAGAACGAGUUGGGUUACGUGACUACAGGAGGUCUUUUUCAGUUGGUUGUGUUGCGAAUUCUCCCUGCCAUGUACACAUCCAGCAAUUCAGUACUUAAAAAACAAUAUAUAGACAAUGUCGCUGGAUGGCUAUUGGCUGCACACCGCUGGCUUUUAAUGCUGUUGCCAUCCGAAGCCUACGUGACGUCGAACAGGGAAACCAGGAACUCCCUUCUUGUUUCCAACCCCAGGAUAUAAUGGUUUAUUUUUUUAUUUUCAAAAUUGCUGUUUGCCCUUUGUUCAUCAUGCCAAAAUGUUAUCAUAGCCUUUGUUCAUUCAAGAUUUUUCUGGAACCGGUAAAAAAAUAAAAAUUAAAAGCGAAAGUCAU